GCCAUAGCUCAGUGGCAGAGCAUCGGCUUUGCAUGCAAAACGUCCCAGGUUUGAACCCCAGCAUCUCCA